UUCCCAUGGCGCCUGUUUAUCAAAAACAUGGUUUUUUGUUGGUGAUAAAAAAUCUUACCUGCUCCCUGCUAUAAGUUAAUAGCCGCAGUAUUAUGACUGUGCUAAGGUAGCAUAAUCAUUUGUCUUUUAAAUGAGGUCUGGAAUGAAGGGUUUGAUCGAAGAAAGUCCUGUCUCUUUAUUAUUUGGUGAAGUAAAUUAGCUAGUAAAAAGGCUAGUAUAUACCUGAAAGACGAUAAGACCCUAUUAAGCUUAAUUUUUGAAAUUUUACUGGGGCGGUAGGAUAAGAUUACAAUCUUAUCCAUAAUGGUUGAUAUUUAUUGACCCAAUUUUAUUGAGGGUAAGAUAAAGUUACUAUAGGGAUAACAGCUUAAUUUUCCCUUGAAGAUCUUAUUUAUUGGAAAGUUUGAGACCUCGAUGUUGAAUUAAAGUACCUUAUAGGCGCAGUAGGCUAUAAAGGAAGUCUGUUCGACUUUUAAAUCUUUACGUGAUCUGAGUUCAGACCGGCCAUGGGAAG
rnacentral:rRNA from 1 species